UACGUAGGGUGCAAGCGUUAAUCGGAAUUACUGGGCGUAAAGCGUGCGCAGGUGGUUCUAUAAGACAGAUGUGAAAUCCCCGGGCUCAACCUGGGAACUGCAUUUGUGACUGUAGAGCUGGAGUGCGGCAGAGGGGGAUGGAAUUCCGCGUGUAGCAGUGAAAUGCGUAGAUAUGCGGAGGAACACCGAUGGCGAAGGCAAUCCCCUGGGCCUGCACUGACGCUCAUGCACGAAAGCGUGGGGAGCAAACAGG
rnacentral:rRNA from 1 species